GACGAACGCUGGCGGCGUGCCUAAUACAUGCAAGUCGAACGCUUUUUCUUUCACCGGAGCUUGCUCCACCGAAAGAAAAAGAGUGGCGAACGGGUGAGUAACACGUGGGUAACCUGCCCAUCAGAAGGGAAUAACACUUGGAAACAGGUGCUAAUACCGUAUAACACUAUUUUCCUCAUGGAAGAAAGUUGAAAGGCGCUUUUGCGUCACUGAUGGAUGGACCCGGGGUGCAUUAGCUAGUUGGUGAGGUAACGGCUCACCAAGGCAACGAUGCAUAGCCGACCUGAGAGGGUGAUCGGCCACACUGGGACUGAGACACGGCCCAGACUCCUACGGGAGGCAGCAGUAGGGAAUCUUCGGCAAUGGACGAAAGUCUGACCGAGCAACGCCGCGUGAGUGAAGAAGGUUUUCGGAUCGUAAAACUCUGUUGUUAGAGAAGAACAAGGAUGAGAGUAAAAUGUUCAUCCCUUGACGGUAUCUAACCAGAAAGCCACGGCUAACUACGUGCCAGCAGCCGCCGUAA
rnacentral:rRNA from 1 species